UACGAAGGGGGCGAGCGUUGUUCGGAAUCACUGGGCGUAAAGGGCGCGUAGGCGGAUAGUUUAGUCAGAGGUGAAAGCCCAGGGCUCAACCUUGGAAUUGCCUUUGAUACUGGCUAUCUUGAGUUCGGGAGAGGUGAGUGGAAUGCCGAGUGUAGAGGUGAAAUUCGUAGAUAUUCGGCGGAACACCAGUGGCGAAGGCGACUCACUGGCCCGAUACUGACGCUGAGGCGCGAAAGCGUGGGGAGCAAACAGG
rnacentral:rRNA from 1 species